UUUGGAUUAAUACCUCAUAGUAUAGCAGUUUCGCAUAGAAACCACUUAUUAAAGUCACAACGGCAAAAGAUGAGCAUGCGUCCCAUUAGCUUGUUGGUAAGGUAACGGCUUACCAAGGCAACGAUGGGUAGGGGUCCUGAGAGGGAGAUCCCCCACACUGGUACUGAGACACGGACCAGACUCCUACGGGAGGCAGCAGUGAGGAAUAUUGGACAAUGGGCGCAAGCCUGAUCCAGCCAUGCCGCGUGCAGGAUGACGGUCCUAUGGAUUGUAAACUGCUUUUGUACAGGAAGAAACACUGGUUCGUGAACCGGCUUGACGGUACUGUAAGAAUAAGGAUCGGCUAACUCCGUG
rnacentral:rRNA from 1 species